rnacentral:rRNA from 1 species
GACGAACGCUGGCGGCGUGCUUAACACAUGCAAGUCGAACGAUGAAGCUGGAGCUUGCUCCGGUGGAUUAGUGGCGAACGGGUGAGUAACACGUGAGCAAUCUGCCCUUGACUCUGGGAUAACUGCGGGAAACUGUAGCUAAUACCGGAUACGAGGCUCGAAGGCAUCUUCGGGUCUGGAAAGAAUUUCGGUCAAGGAUGAGCUCGCGGCCUAUCAGCUUGUUGGUGAGGGAAUGGCUCACCACGGCGACGACGGGUAGCCGGCCUGAGAGGGUGACCGGCCACACUGGGACUGAGACACGGCCCAGGCUCCUACGGGAGGCAGCAGUGGGGAAUAUUGCACAAUGGGCGAAAGCCUGAUGCAGCAACGCCGCGUGAGGGAUGAAGGCCUUCGGGUUGUAAACCUCUUUUAGCAGGGAAGAAGCGAAAGUGACGGUACCUGCAGAAAAAGCACCGGCUAACUACGUGCCAGCCGCCGCCGUAA